GACGAACCUGACAAACGUUAUUCGGAAUUACUGGGCUUAAAGGGUGCGUAGGCGGCGCGACAAGUUGGGUGUGAAAUCCCUCGGCUCAACCGAGGAACUGCGCUCAAUACUGUCGUGCUCGAGGGAGACAGAGGUGAGCGGAACUUAGGGUGGAGCGGUGAAAUGCGUUGAUAUCCUAAGGAACACCGGUAGCGAAAGCGGCUCACUGGGUCUUUUCUGACGCUGAGGCACGAAAGCUAGGGUAGCGAACGGGAUUAGAUACCCCGGUAGUCCUAGCCUUAAACGAUGAGCACUUGAUUGGAGGGUCCUCCAUAGCCCUCCAGUCGUAGCGAAAGUGUUAAGUGCUCCGCCUGGGGAGUAUGGUCGCAAGGCUGAA
rnacentral:rRNA from 1 species